AGUGGGAUUGCUGGAUUAUAUGGUAAGUAUAUUUUUAACUUUAUAAAAAACUGCCAACUUUUUUUUCCAAAGUGGCUGUACCAUUUGCACUCCCACCAGCAAU
rnacentral:pre_miRNA from 1 species